AGAGUUUGAUCAUGGCUCAGAUUGAACGCUGGCGGAAUGCUUUACACAUGCAAGUCGAACGGCAGCACGGACUUCGGUCUGGUGGCGAGUGGCGAACGGGUGAGUAAUACAUCGGAACGUGCCCAAUCGUGGGGGAUAACGUAGCGAAAGCUACGCUAAUACCGCAUACGAUCUAAGGAUGAAAGCGGGGGAUCGCAAGACCUCGCGCGACUGGAGCGGCCGACGGCAGAUUAGGUAGUUGGUAGGGUAAAGGCCUACCAAGCCGACGAUCUGUAGCUGGUCUGAGAGGAUGAUCAGCCACACUGGGACUGAGACACGGCCCAGACUCCUACGGGAGGCAGCAGUGGGGAAUUUUGGACAAUGGACGCAAGUCUGAUCCAGCCAUUCCGCGUGCAGGAUGAAGGCCCUCGGGUUGUAAACUGCUUUUGUACAGAACGAAAAGGUCCUGGUUAAUACCUGGGGCUCAUGACGGUACUGUAAGAAUAAGCACCGGCUAACUACGUGCCAGCAGCCGCGGUAAU
rnacentral:rRNA from 1 species